rnacentral:lncRNA from 1 species
AUAGAUUAGUGCUGCCCUCAACAUUAGCUGGAGAAACCUCUCUAUACAGUUGCCCAGUGGUCAAUUAAGAGAUUUCUAAUUCGUCAAAGAGCUGAGGGUGAGAACAGUGCUCAACUCUAAAUGGGACAGCUAUAUCUACCCUACCUGAAGCUCGGGAAACACUGAAAAGGUCUCCCUUUGGAGGGAAGACUCAUCUUAAAUGUGCACACCACCAUCCCAAGGACCAGGGGCUCAUAUUACAUGGAAGAAGGACCCAUGCUGAGCUUCAGCCUUCAUUCCUUUAAGCUUCCCGGCCAUGAACACAAUGUGACUUAUGCUCUGGCUGACAUGACUUUUUGACCACGGUGCACCCUUGAGCUGUGACCCAAAAUAAACCCUUUCUCCCUUAAGUUGCUUUUGUCAGAAUUCUUCUGCAGCAACGGAAGUAACCGAGGUCAAAGGCAUAAGUAGUAUUAGCAUUUGCUUUACACUGUUUUGUUUAGAU